rnacentral:lncRNA from 1 species
CAUCUUUCCUUCUUCUCUCUGCUUUUCCCUUGUCCACUUCUUCUAAUCUCCUUCAUCUUCUCCACUAAGCUUUCAUCUUCUUCACUUAAACUUUUCUAAUCUUCUUCAUCUGUUUCCUCUAGUGCAGACAUCCCCAUGUGAUCUGCAGAGUGGAUUUCAUUGUUUAAUCUUUUUUGUUUGCUCUCUUCCACCAAAACCCAAACUUCCUCUAUC